ACAUUUUAAUCCUGCUCACGUGGGAGCGUUAAAAGGGAUACCUGUCGACAUUUCAAUAUACGUUACACUUUAUGGAUUUAUGAUAUAGACACAAGAUUAAGAUCUGCACUAUGGUAUCCCCUUGAAGCGCAGUCUUCGCAUAUUAAGCGCAUCCACGUUGGAGAGAAAAUGUCGAACGCGUGACAUGCGAAAAAUUCGCAAUAACAGGAGGCCACCAGACACAGUUGCGAAAGUUGGCACGUGUGCGAAAAGCGCGUAAAAGGCUGGUAUCGUUAUCACGAUUACAUUGCGGCAUUAUGAGCUGCGAGUAGAGGAACGAGGAUUUUAUCUUAUCAGACGAUGCACUACGUGGAAAGUUCUGACCGGGGAAUGGAUUAAUUGCUUGGAAACGAUGGGGAGUGAUGUAUCGAGAGGAUUCGUAUCGACACUGUUAUUUCGAGAGACAUGUGGGCAAUAUCGAAGAUUUCUGCAUUCUACGAUAAUUACCACAUUUGCUUAACUAAUCGAUGAUUAAAUGUGCUUAAUUAUGCAGGCCUGUUUGCAAAACGGAAACACCAUGAAUAUGUUACUAAUCUGUUAUGGAUUAA